UACGUAGGGUGCAAGCGUUAAUCGGAAUUACUGGGCGUAAAGCGUGCGCAUGCGGUUAUGUAAGUCAGGUGUGAAAUCCCCGGGCUUAACCUGGGAACUGCAUUUGUGACUGCAUAGCUAGAGUACGGCAGAGGGGGAUGGAAUUCCGCGUGUAGCAGUGAAAUGCGUAGAUAUGCGGAGGAACACCGAUGGCGAAGGCAAUCCCCUGGGCCUGUACUGACGCUCAUGCACGAAAGCGUGGGGAGCAAACAGG
rnacentral:rRNA from 1 species